GAUGAACGCUAGCUCCAGGCUUAACACAUGCAAGUCGAGGGACCGGCGCACGGGUGAGUAACACGUAUCCAACCUGCCCUUUACUCGGGGAUAGCCUUUCGAAAGAAAGAUUAAUACCCGAUAUAAAGGAUGGGGAUGCGUUCCAUUAGGUUGUUGGUGAGGUAACGGCCCACCAAGCCUUCGAUGGAUAGGGGUUCUGAGAGGAAGGUCCACUACAAUGGAACUGAGACACGGUCCAAACGCCUACGGGACGCAGCAGGGAGUAAUAUUGGUAAAUGGGCGUUAGCCUAAACCAGCCAAGUAGCGUGAAGGAUGAAGGCUUAUGGGUCGUAAACUUCUUUUAUAGAAGAAUAUGUAUUAUAUGAAUAAGGAUCGGCUAACUCCGUGCCAGCAGCCGCGGUAAUAC
rnacentral:rRNA from 1 species